rnacentral:rRNA from 1 species
CCAGAUGGGAUUAGCUUGUUGGUGGGGUAACGGCUCACCAAGGCGACGAUCCCUAGCUGGUCUGAGAGGAUGACCAGCCACACUGGAACUGAGACACGGUCCAGACUCCUACGGGAGGCAGCAGUGGGGAAUAUUGCACAAUGGGCGCAAGCCUGAUGCAGCCAUGCCGCGUGUAUGAAGAAGGCCUUCGGGUUGUAAAGUACUUUCAGCGGGGAGGAAGGGAGUAAAGUUAAUACCUUUGCUCAUUGACGUUACCCGCAGAAGAAGCACCGGCUAACUCCGUGCCAGCAGCCGCGGUAAUACGGAGGGUGCAAGCGUUAAUCGGAAUUACUGGGCGUAAAGCGCACGCAGGCGGUUUGUUAAGUCAGAUGUGAAAUCCCCGGGCUCAACCUGGGAACUGCAUCUGAUACUGGCAAGCUUGAGUCUCGUAGAGGGGGGUAGAAUUCCAGGUGUAGCGGUGAAAUGCGUAGAGAUCUGGAGGAAUACCGGUGGCGAAGGCGGCCCCCUGGACGAAGACUGACGCUCAGGUGCGAAAGCGUGGGGAGC